rnacentral:lncRNA from 1 species
UGUUGUGAAGUUUUUGCUACAAGUAAUUAUAGUUUAUGAAUAAGAAAAUUGAGAAUGGAAAUGUGGAAUGUGUCAAAGAGACAACAGCAGAAAGUCACCAAUAGGUCUUCAAUGCAGCAAGAAAUUCCCGCACCCGGAGGCGUCCUUCAGCUGGCCCCUACACAAAUAUAUAUAAUAGUUCAGUGAUAAUGAACGCCAUACUAAACUCCAAAUUAUACACAAGAAACUAAAAUUAAAAAUAAUACAAGACUAAA